rnacentral:rRNA from 1 species
UACGGGGGGAGCAAGCGUUGUUCGGAUUUACUGGGCGUAAAGGGCGCGUAGGCGGCGCAACAAGUCACUUGUGAAAUCUCCGGGCUUAACCCGGAGCGGCCAAGUGAUACUGUCGUGCUAGAGUGCGGAAGGGGCUACUGGAAUUCUCGGUGUAGCGGUGAAAUGCGUAGAGAUCGGAAAGAACACCAACGGCGAAAGCACUCUGCUGGGCCGACACUGACACUGAGAGACGAAAGCUAGGGGAGCGAAUGGG